ACCAUUGGCUCUUUCCCCCAGCCCGGUCUUUGUGACGUCAGCAAUCAGGAUGCCUUCUGUUGGCUAAGACGCACACUGCUGUCUGAAAUUUCCUCUUCUACACUCAAUCAUUACAGGUCCAGUGCAGAAAAAGUUCUGUAGUUUUCAUUCUGGCAAUGCGGCAAGAGGGGCUUUGAUGUCGAAAGGGUAUGGUUUAUGACAAUAGGUUACGGUGAGUCUUUCGGGCUGCAUGGCCAUGUUCCAGGCUGUAUUCUCUCCUGAUGUUUCGCCCACAUCUGAGGCAGGCAUCCUCAGAGGUUGUGAGGCGUGAAGAUCACUGCAGAGGCAGACUGUAGCCAGGAAAUCAGAAGACGUUUACUUCUUGGGAGGAGAGCAAUGGCCAACCUCGAUAAAAUAGUGAAGAGCAGAGACAUCACACUGGCAACGAAGGUCCGCAUAGUCAAAGCAAUGGUAUUUCCCAUAGUAACCGAAGGUUGCGAGAGCUGGACCAUAAGGCUGAGCGAAGGAAGAUAGACGCUUUUGAACUUUGGUGCUGGAGGAAAAUCCUGAGAGUUCCUUGGACCGCAAGAAGAUCCAACCAGUCCAUCCGCCAGGAAAUAAUGCCUGGCUGCUCACUGGAGGGAAGGAUAUUAGAGGCAAAGAUGAAGUAUUUUGGCCACAUCAUGAGAAGACAGGAAAGCUUGGAAAAGAUCAUGAUGCUGGAGAAAAUGGAAGGAAAAAAGGAAGAGAGGCCAACCAAGGGCACGAUGGAUGGAUGGGAUCUUUGAAAUGACUGGCUUGACCUUGAAGGAACUGGGGGCGGCGACGGCCGACAGGGAGCUCUGGCGUGGACUGGUCCAUGAGGUUACGAAGAGUAGGAAAUGACUGUAUGAAGGAAGUAGUAUUGAGGUGAGGUGGACAGAAUCACUGCUUAUCAAUUUGUGGACACACAUCACAUUCCCUAGGGUCUCUUUCAUUUUGCCCAUCUAUCAUCCAGUCGGGGUGUAUUGAAGAUCUAUGAUUUAUUUACUUCCAAGUGUUGUGAAACCUUCGUGUAAGUACUCCGAGUAUUUUUUGCUUACAAAAACCCUAUGAAAUUCAGAAGAUCAAUGUUAAGUCAACAGGCAACUAGAAGGCAUGCAUGUGUGUGCACGCACAAACGGCUUUAAAAGCUAAUUUGCAGAUUCACCUGAUCUUGUUUGAUGACUGGUGCUUGAAAUUAUGCAACAAUUGUACUGCAGAUUUUUGCAUCUUAUGUGUUAUGAAAGCACUACCUGCAGUGGUGUGUGUGUGGUCAUCCAUUCUUACUAGAAACUCAUAAUAAUUUGAAGCUGAGAUUGAAAGGCGAUGAGAUGAGAACUACCAAUUAUUACUAUUAUUUAUAUUAAUGGAAUGCCUUCUAUAUGAUGCACAUCUCCUAAAAUUCAUUUUCUCCAGUAACCCACAGAAGUCAAAACCUUACCCAACUGAAAUGUUUUGAUACAUACCUUCAUGAUCCUCUGAAGAUGCCAGGCACAGAUGCAGGUGAAAUGUCAGGAGAAAAUGCUGCUAGAACACGGCUAUAAAGCCAAGAAACCACAUUCCAGUGAUUUUGGCCGUGAAAGCCUUCACCAAUACAUACUUUAAUUGUUUAUGGACAUCAAAAGAGGAAAAUAAGAAAAAACCCCCCACUAUAAAUGGGGUUGUUGUAAGUUUUCCGGGCUGUAUGGCCAUGUUCCAGAAGUAUUCUCUCUUGACGUUUCGCCCACAUCUAUGGCAGGCAUCCUCAGAGGUUGUGAGGAUGCCUGCCAUAGAUGUGGGCAAAACAUCAGGAGAGAAUACUUCUGGAACAUGGCCAUACAGCUCGGAAAGCAUACAACAACUCUGUGAUCCCGGUCAUGAAAGCCUUAGACAACCCACCAUAAAUGGUUUGAUACCUCCUGCUAUGAAGGAUCCAGUGGUCCUUCUGUCAAGAUGGCAUCUGAAAUUAUCCAUUUUUCCAAAGAUGUGGGGAAAAAAUAACAUACAUUCUAGUUGAAGAGAAAAUUGACAUUUGCUAAUGCUAUGGGAAAUGGGGAAAAUGAUAAUCUAGGUGCACAGGAAUGAUGUGUGUGACACAUGAAAGCAUGAGAUUGCAUGGGCCAUUCAAUCCAACCCCCUGCUAUGCAGGAAAAGCAUAAUCAAAGCAUUCCCAACAGAUGGUCACCCAGCCCCUGCUUAAAAACCUCCAAGGAAGGAGCUUCCAUCUCACUCUGAGGCAAGAGUUCCACUGUUGAACAGCUUGUAUGGUCAGGAAGUUUUUCCUAAAGUUCAGAUGGAAUCUCCUUUCCUGCCAUUUGAACCCAUCACUCUGAGUCCUAGUCUCCAGGGCAGCAGAAAACAAGCCUGCUCCUUCUUCCUUAUGACAGCCUUUCAAAUAUAUAUGGUUAUCAUGUCUCCUUUCAACCUUCUCUUUUGCAGGCUAAGCAUCCCUAGCUCUUUAAUAAAUAAUUACAUUCAAAAUACAAAAAUGAGACAUACUAAGCUCACUGCAAUUAAGCCCCAAUCACAUACCUGCUUCUUUCAAAUAGUUUCCUACACUGCCAUGUAUGUGAAAAAUGGGAAAAUGUCAAAGAGAAGUGAAGCUCCUUAAUAAUGGUGAAGAGAAAACAAAGCCAAAAUUUUGGUUAUGUGAGAUUCUGUUCAUUUAUUGAAUACAUACGUGAUUGAUCAGACAAACAAUGAAAAAUCACAUGAAUAUAUAUCUUAAAAAUUACAAUAAAUUAUUGAAGAAUUAGUAAAAAUGAAUGUUUCUACUCUCCACGUUCCAGGUGCAUGGCUAAGGAGGCAGACACUUAAACACAGAGAAUAUACCACAACAUUGGAGUAACACUGUGUAUUGCAUCAAGUGAUGUAUCCCCUUGUAUAAAUCUCCUUAAGUUCUUCAGACUUUCCUCUUUCUGAAUUGCCAAUGCGAUUCACACUCCUGCAACAGACACACUUCGGCAUUCACACAAUUUUGAUUAAGCUCAUGUGACUGGACAACAUACUUGUGUAAUGAACAUGUGUACAAAUAUAAACAAAUAUAAUAGUGCUUCUUGAGAAUUAAUGCCUUCCCAUAGGGAGGUUACCUAUCUCAAAAUGGAGCAUUACUUUUCCUCUGGUCCACAAGUGAUUUGUAGAUGGCUGAUCCUGUAACUGUACACUCUAUACUGCCAGAGCAAAAUGUAGUUUAAACAUCACAUCAUGUUAAAAUAGGUUACAGAAACUGUUUUGAAUUGUAGUACAACAGCAAGGUCCCUAUCAUGUGCAAGAGCUGGGUCAUGAUAUAUUAGUGAUUCAGGUAAACAGGACAAAGAACCAAGCACUCCCUUCCCCACAAUUGUGCCUUCACCUAUGUUAGAGGUAUGGCUAAGUUUAGCACAGUAAUAUGAACUUCUGACCAUAGGGAGAAAUGGAUCAAUCAAGCAGCAUAAGUUAGUUAAUGAUAACUAGCUUACAGGAAUAUUGGAUCAGGGCUUGCUCAUUACAAAUAACUUCAUGAAAUUCAAAAUGGCUAACUUAGGAGAUUGUGUACUGUAUGAAUGUGAGAAGGAAGUAAUCUAAUGUUUAAAAGCAGCAUGACUUAGUAGCAUUUCAUGAUUCUCAGGAUAGUACCAUUCACCCCAACCUCCAUGGCUGCUAAAUCUUAAUCCUCAUUUCUUUCUGGGAAAUUAAAAAUAAACACAUGGCACUAAAGAAUUAAAAACUGAUCUAAAAGAUAUUAAUGUGCAUCUUUCUUCAGAGACUGAAAUCCACAUGCUACCGCAAUAGUAAAUCACUUGCAACAAACACCAGCAGUCCCAAUAUACUAGCAUAUAUUCUAGGUGCAGGAUGCCAAGAGUAAGAGAAUAUAACAUCUUUACAUUUGACAAGUUACUGCAUAGCAUCUACAUUCCUAACAAGACACUCUUAGGCAAGGCUGGGGACUGCUACCGCAUUUGGAUACACUGCAUUUGAUGCAUUAGGUCACAAGGAGGCAGCCAAGGACAUAGAGGAAGGAACUGAAGCUAGGCUGCAUUUCUUGUGAACAAUUACAAAGGAAGUAAAACAAAAGAAAACGUAGCAUAGUUUGACUGAAAUCAAGCUUCAUUAAAGAAAGAUAGGUAGAGGCACACAUGCAUAAUUUACUAAGGUAAUUCUAGGCCAGAGAGGCUAUUAGGUUUUAGGCUUUCAUGCUUUUGAGGAUGUAAUGUAAACUUGACAAGCAAGGUGUCCCCUGGGGAGAUAUCUAUAUCAAAGAAUGGCUGUGAUGAGCCCCUUACUCAGCUGAAUCUACUUGCAUUGAUGGGGAGUUAUAGGUGCUGAUAAAAACAAAAACAAAGUAAGUGUCCAACCAUCAACGACGGCUGUUUUUUUUUUUUUUGGAUCAACCACUUCUAAUACUCCAGCCUGGCUUUAUUUCCCUGACAUCAGCCUGACACCGAGGAAAGUUCAUAAUCACUGGAUGAGCUGAACUGUCUCUCCACCUUUUUUUGUUCUUUGAUCUUCUGCGUAAUGUCAACUUUCUUCUCAAAGUAGUUCACCAGGACGGUCUCUGUAAGCAUGGAGGCUAGGAUCUGUUCAAAGGAGAUGGACCAGUCUGUGUCAAUGGUGCUGCCAUAUCGUGCUGCCGAGCUGCCAGCCUCGCAGCCCACCAGCACGGUGUCAUCCGCGAUGUCUUCGCAUUGGAGUGAACCGGUGCUGACCAUGGAGUAUGAAGACAUGGACAUAUCGUCUUUUGUUUCGUCAUCUGAAAAAAGCUGCACAGGAGAUCCAGAGCCUUCGCCACCACCGCCAUCUACAAAAAUCUGGUUUUCCUGCUGGUUUUUGUCCACCUGAGUAUCUCCAGAUGCUUUAUCUUCUGGGGCAGCUUGGGAAUACCGCUCCACAGUUGAGUUUUGGCUCUGAUCAGAUGUUGGAGACUCUUCUUCACUUACUGGGUCUUGGGCUCUAUUUGCUUUGAUAUCAUCGCCUGCCUUUUUCGUUGGCUGGUGGGAGAACUUUUUUCCCACCUCCCCAAUGCGCAGGAGGAGGCUAGCAACCGUGGCAAUGGCAUGAUACAAUUCUUGCUCCACCGGGUCUUCACUGAACAUGUUGUAAAGGGUCUUGCACAACUCUAUAAAUUGCUCCUUAAAAGAAGAAGUAUACAUAACAGUAACUGCUUAGGUGCAAAAUCUUCAAACUGAUAAUUAUACAAAAUGAUAAGAUAAUCAAUGGGGAAUUUAAUGGGCAUCAUUUUUGAUCAUCUCAAUUACACUCAAGACAGAUUAUACGGCAGAUAAUACAAUGAAGGACACUACCAUUUGCCACCAUUUAAAGCCAUCAUUAACAACCUAACUGUGCAUUAAAGUUUAACCAACUUGAUCAAACUUUUGAGAGCUGGAAAAUGAUUAUCUGUGGAUGUGGAUGAAUGACGCGUAAAUGUCACUUCCUAAUUGGUUCUAUCAUAAAAAAAUAUGGAAAAAUUUAUUAAACUGCAGAAACUUUGUUUUUGCAGGACAUUCUGCAGCACAUUUUGUUAUUGUUUUUCAAUAAAUAUCGAGUAUCAUCCAAUUCUACAGAGUUUGUGGCAGCCACAAAAAUGAAGUUUCUGGAGUGCAACAACUACUUUCAAAGAGUUAUCAGAAUUGAGAAAUGGUGAAGGAGAGCUGGAAAAAUAGACUUUUGAUAUCAAGUUGCAACAAAGCAGAUUCAUAGUUUGACCACCAAGAUGGAAAAGUGGAGAGUGGUAAAAGAAAACAUCACCUCUAGAAGGUUCAAAAUGCUUUUCUUUACUUAUACAAAAUAUACCCGACUUAUUUUUUUUUUAUUUCACAUGUGCAUAUUGUUACUUUUUAAUAAAAAGUCAGUUGAAACACACUGAACUACUUUU